rnacentral:rRNA from 1 species
GUAGGGGGCAGGCGUUAUCCGGAUUUACUGGGUGUAAAGGGAGCGUAGACGGCAAGGCAAGUCUGAUGUGAAAGGCGGGGGCUCAACUCCUGGACUGCAUUGGAAACUGUCAAGCUAGAGUGUCGGAGGGGUAAGCGGAAUUCCUGGUGUAGCGGUGAAAUGCGCAGAUAUCAGGAGGAACACCGGUGGCGAAGGCGGCUUACUGGACGGCAACUGACGUUGAGGCUCGAAAGCGUGGGGAGCAA